rnacentral:rRNA from 1 species
UACGUAGGGGGCUAGCGUUGUCCGGAAUCAUUGGGCGUAAAGCGCGUGUAGGCGGUCCGGUAAGUCCGCUGUGAAAGUCGGGGGCUCAACCCUCGAAUGCCGGUGGAUACUGUCGGGCUAGAGUGCGGAAGAGGCGAGUGGAAUUCCUGGUGUAGCGGUGAAAUGCGCAGAUAUCAGGAGGAACACCAAUUGCGAAGGCAGCUCGCUGGAACGUAACUGACGCUGAGAACGCGAAAGCGUGGGGAGCAAACAGG